rnacentral:rRNA from 1 species
GCUAGAAUGCAAGUCGAACGGGCCUGAUUUCGGUCAGGCUAGUGGCGGACGGGUGAGUAACACGUGGGUGAUCUACCCCAAAGUCUGGGACAACUAGGGGAAACCUUAGCUAAUCCCGGAUGGUGAGGCUUCUCCUGUGAAGUCUCUAAAGAUUUAUCGCUUUGGGAUGAGCCCGCGGCGCAUCAGCUAGUUGGUGGGGUAAUGGCCUACCAAGGCGACGACGCGUAGCUGGUCUGAGAGGACGACCAGCCACAGGAGCACUGAGACACGGGCUCCACUCCUACGGGAGGCAGCAGUUAGGAAUCUUCGUCAAUGGGCGAAAGCCUGAACGAGCGACGCCGCUUGAGGGACGAAGCCCUUCGGGGUGUAAACCUCUGAACAGGGGACGAUGAUGACGGUACCCUGCUAAUAGCACCGGCUAACUCCGUGCCAGCAGCCGCGGUAAUACGGAGGGUGCGAGCGUUACCCGGAUUUACUGGGCGUAAAGGGCGUGUAGGCGGUUUUCUAAGUCCGG